rnacentral:rRNA from 1 species
UACGGAGGGUGCGAGCGUUGUCCGGAAUCAUUGGGCGUAAAGGGCGCGUAGGUGGCCCGGUCAGUUCGUGGUGAAAGCGCGGGGCUCAACCCUGCGUCGGCCAUGAAUACUGCCGCGGCUGGAGCACUGUAGAGGCAGGCGGAAUUCCGGGUGUAGCGGUGGAAUGCGUAGAGAUCCGGAAGAACACCGGUGGCGAAGGCGGCCUGCUGGGCAGUUGCUGACACUGAGGCGCGACAGCGUGGGGA